AUGAACUUCUCCGUUGGCGCCGGCGGUAGUGGAGACGGCGGAGGCGAGGGCGGGAGGGUGCAAGCGGAGCGGUGGCUGGAGAUUGCAGCGAAGCUUCUCGCCGCGCGCGACCUCGUCGGCUGCAAGCGCUUCGCCGAGCGCGCGGUGGAGGCGGAUCCGCUUCUCCCCGGCGCCGACGAACUCCUCGCCGUCGCUGACGUUCUCCUCACCUCCCAGGCGAUGCUCUAUACCGGAGAGCCUGACCCAUUCGCCGUCCUCCAGGUGCCCUCCAAAACCACCGACCACGGCGCCAUCUCCCGCGCCUUCCGCCGCCUCGCGCUCCUCCUCCAAUCCAGCAACCCCCACCCCGGUGCGGAUGUAGCCCUCCGCAUCGUCAACGACGCCUAUGAACUUCUCUCUGAUCCAUCACGCCAGCCACUGCGUUCUGCACGUACCAACAUCCCUUCUGGUGCUCCCUCUCAGCCAGCCGCUGCCGCCGCUCCUGCAGCUGAGGCGACGGACUUCUGGACUGCGUGCCCGUUCUGCUGCUACGUCCAUCAGUACCCGCGCGAGCUAGUUGGCCGCGCGCUCAAGUGCCCAAACGAGUCUUGCCGCCGGGGGUUUGUGGCUGUUGAGAUCCCUACACAGCCGACCAUCGUGCCGGGCACCGAGAUGUACCACUGUGCUUGGGGGUUCUUCCCCCUUGGUUUCCCCAACUCGGCGGAUCUGGGUGGCAACUGGAAGCCAUUUUACAAGGUCUUCCCUUGGAACAAUGCGCCAAGUGGUGGGGGUGCCAUUGGUAGGAACUAUAGUAACUAUGGUGGAGGCAGCAAUGGCCGGCAGCCGCAGAAUGGGAGUGCUCGUGGUGGAUCAUCCAGAGGUAGGGUCAAGAAGACAACUGCUCGCAAGAAGGUUGGGACGGGGCCCAAGAGGCGUUCUUUUGGUGGUGGUGUGGAGAGCGGCAUUGAUGCAUCGAUGCUUGGACAGGAUGGGUGGGCUGAGGGUGAGGAGGGUGAAGGUGGACAGCGGGAGGAGGUAAGAGAGAUUAACAUAAAUGAGGAGGCACGGGCUACAGAUGGUACUGGCAGGGCAAAUGUCACAGGAGGAGUUGAGGACCUGGGCAGCUUCCAUUUGGAUGUUGAUCCAACUGAGGAUAUACUAGGGAAUCUGGGAAAUUUACACAACUUGCCGUUCUUGAGGGUGGAUAAUCUUGGGAGGAUGCUGUAA
rnacentral:rRNA from 1 species